CCCUUAGAUGUCCUGGGCCGCACGCGCGCUACACUGACGAAUUCAACGAGUCUUACUUUGGUCCUACUUCGAAAAGGAGCGGGUAAACUUUUAAAAGUUCGUCGUGCUGGGGAUAGACGAUUGUAAUUUUUCGUCUUCAACGAGGAAUUCCUUGUAAGCGCAAUUCAUCAGAUUGCGUUGAAUACUGUCCCUGCCCUUUGUACACACCGCCCGUCGCUUCUACCGAUUGGAUGGUCCGGUGAAGACUUCGGACUGUCACUGGAUGUUCGGUUCCACCGAUGCCAUGUGACGGGAAGUUGUCUAAACCUUAUCAUCUAGAGGAAGAAAAAGUCGUAACA
rnacentral:rRNA from 1 species